rnacentral:rRNA from 1 species
CAGCAGCCGCGGGAAUACAGAGGGUGCGAGCGUUAAUCGGAUUUACUGGGCGUAAAGCGUGCGUAGGCGGCUUUUUAAGUCGGAUGUGAAAUCCCUGAGCUUAACUUAGGAAUUGCAUUCGAUACUGGGAAGCUAGAGUAUGGGAGAGGAUGGUAGAAUUCCAGGUGUAGCGGUGAAAUGCGUAGAGAUCUGGAGGAAUACCGAUGGCGAAGGCAGCCAUCUGGCCUAAUACUGACGCUGAGGUACGAAAGCAUGGGGAGCAAACAGGAUUAGAUACACCCGUAGUCCCUGUCUCUUAUAC